rnacentral:rRNA from 1 species
CCCUUAGAUGUUCUGGGCAGCACGCGCGCUACAAUGGUCUUCGCAAACGGAUGCAUUCUCGAAGGAGAAUGCCAAUCUUGGAAUCUAUGCCUUGGUCGGGACAGUUGCUUGCAAUUUUUCGACUCGAACCAGGAAUUCCUUGUAAUCGUGAUUCAUCACAUCACGAUGAAUACGUCCCUGCCCUUUGUACACACCGCCCGUCGCUCCUACCGAUCGAAGAGUUAUGUGAAUUGUUUUGAUCGAUAAGAUUUGACUAUGGUCAACUCUCGUUGUGAAAUUCUGUGAAUCUGACUGUUUAGAGGAAGGAAAAGUCGUAACA